UACGUAGGGGGCAAGCGUUGUCCGGAAUCAUUGGGCGUAAAGAGCGUGUAGGCGGCUCGAUAAGUCUGCUGUGAAAGUCAAGGGCUCAACCCUUGAAAGCCGGUUGAUACUGUCGGGCUAGAGUCCGGAAGAGGCGAGUGGAAUUCCUGGUGUAGCGGUGGAAUGCGCAGAUAUCAGGAGGAACACCGGUGGCGAAGGCGGUUCUCUGGGCAUUACCUGACGCUGAGGAGCGAAAGCGUGGGGAGCGAACAGG
rnacentral:rRNA from 1 species